rnacentral:misc_RNA from 1 species
GGGAAUUCUAGUUGUGGUGUUGUUGGAUUGAAAUGUUAUAGCGGUGGGAUUGACGCGUUUAGGAAGAUUAUUCGUAGUGAUGGCUUGAGGGGAUUGUAUAGAGGAUUUGGUAUUUCAAUACUGACUUAUGCACCUUCAAAUGCAGUGUGGUGGGGUUCAUACACUACAGCUCAUAGAUUGGUUUGGGGCUCCAUUGGUUGCUAUUGUUGCAAGAAAGACAACGAGGGCGGUUAUAAGCCAGAUGGGAAGGCAAUGCUUGCUGUUCAAGGAGUGAGUGCAGCUAUGGCUAGUGGAGUGUCUGCAUUAGUUACAAUGCCACUCGACACCGUCAAAACAAGAUUACAAGUAUUAGAUGAUGAUUGUUGCAGUAGUAGUAGUA